rnacentral:rRNA from 1 species
CCCUUAGAUGUUCUGGGCUGCACGCGCGCUACACUGAAGCGUUCAACGAGUAUUCACCUUGCCCGGGAGGGUUGGGUAAUCUUUUGAAAACGCUUCGUGAUGGGGAUAGAUUAUUGCAAUUAUUAAUCUUCAACGAGGAAUUCCUAGUAAGCGCGAGUCAUCAGCUCGUGCUGAUUACGUCCCUGCCCUUUGUACACACCGCCCGUCGCUCCUACCGAUUGAAUGGUCCGGUGAAAUCUUCGGAUCUGAGAGAUGUCUGAUUAAUUUCGGACGCCUUUUGGAAAAGUUGCUUAAACCUUACCAUUUAGAGGAAGGUGAAGUCGUANCA